rnacentral:lncRNA from 1 species
UUUUUAGGAAAAAUACCAUAACCCCCUCCUGCCUUAUGAAGUUCAAUAAUCAUUCCCUAAACAUUUUCCAUCUGAACUUAUAAUUUUAUUUUAGACAAAAACUAUAUGUUUAUGUAACCUAGGACAUUCGUCCUGAACAGACAUGAAAUAUUUGCCACUGGACGUUAAACAACCAACAACCAAUCAAUAUAUAGGAUAUAGUAUAGUCUUAGUAUAAAGCUGGCAUUAAAGGUAGCG